rnacentral:rRNA from 1 species
CUACGGGCCGCAGCAGGCGAGAAAACUUUGCAAUGUGCGAAAGCACGACAAGGCUAAUCCGAGUGGUUUGUGCUAAACGAACCUUUUGACAGUCCUAGAAACACUGUUGAAUAAGGGGUGGGCAAGUUCUGGUGUCAGCCGCCGCGGUAAAACCAGCACCUCAAGUGGUCAGGAUGAUUAUUGGGCCUAAAGCAUCCGUAGCCGGCUCUGUAAGUUUUCGGUUAAAUCUGUACGCUCAACGUACAGGCUGCCGGGAAUACUGCAGAGCUAGGGAGUGGGAGAGGUAGACGGUACUCGGUAGGAAGGGGUAAAAUCCUUUGAUCUAUUGAUGACCACCUGUGGCGAAGGCGGUCUACCAGAACACGUCCGACGGUGAGGGAUGAAAGCUGGGGGAGCAAACCGGAUUAGAUACCCCGGUAGUC